rnacentral:rRNA from 1 species
GACGAAGUGGUUGAUGCCAUGCUUCCAAGAAAAGCUUCUAAGCUUCAGGUAACCAGGAACCGUACCCCAAACCGACACAGGUGGUUGGGUAGAGAAUACCAAGGCGCUUGAGAGAACUCGGGUGAAGGAACUAGGCAAAAUGGCACCGUAACUUCGGGAGAAGGUGCGCCGGUGAGGGUGAAGGACUUGCUCCGUAAGCUCAUGCCGGUCGAAGAUACCAGGCCGCUGCGACUGUUUAUUAAAAACACAGCACUCUGCAAACACGAAAGUGGACGUAUAGGGUGUGACGCCUGCCCGGUGCCGGAAGGUUAAUUGAUGGGGUUAGCUAACGCGAAGCUCUUGAUCGAAGCCCCGGUAAACGGCGGCCGUAACUAUAACGGUCCUAAGGUAGCGAAAUUCCUUGUCGGGUAAGUUCCGACCUGCACGAAUGGCGUAACGAUGGCGGCGCUGUCUCCACCCGAGACUCAGUGAAAUUGAAAUCGCUGUGAAGAUGCAGUGUAUCCGCGGCUAGACGGAAAGACCCCGUGAACCUUUACUAUAGCUUUGCACUGGACUUUGAAUUUGCUUGUGUAGGAUAGGUGGGAGGCUUUGAAGCGUGGACGCCAGUCUGCGUGGAGCCAACCUUGAAAUACCACCCUGGCAACUUUGAGGUUCUAACUCAGGUCCGUUAUCCGGAUCGAGGACAGUGUAUGGUGGGUAGUUUGACUGGGGCGGUCUCCUCCUAAAGAGUAACGGAGGAGUACGAAGGUGCGCUCAGACCGGUCGGAAAUCGGUCGUAGAGUAUAAAGGCAAAAGCGCGCUUGACUGCGAGACAGACACGUCGAGCAGGUACGAAAGUAGGUCUUAGUGAUCCGGUGGUUCUGUAUGGAAGGGCCAUCGCUCAACGGAUAAAAGGUACUCCGGGGAUAACAGGCUGAUACCGCCCAAGAGUUCAUAUCGACGGCGGUGUUUGGCACCUCGAUGUCGGCUCAUCACAUCCUGGGGCUGAAGCCGGUCCCAAGGGUAUGGCUGUUCGCCAUUUAAAGUGGUACGCGAGCUGGGUUUAGAACGUCGUGAGACAGUUCGGUCCCUAUCUGCCGUGGACGUUUGAGAUUUGAGAGGGGCUGCUCCUAGUACGAGAGGACCGGAGUGGACGAACCUCUGGUGUUCCGGUUGUCACGCCAGUGGCAUUGCCGGGUAGCUAUGUUCGGAAUAGAUAACCGCUGAAAGCAUCUAAGCGGGAAACUAGCCUCAAGAUGAGAUCUCACUGGAACCUUGAGUUCCCU